GUGACGGACUUCUUGUUGUUCUGGGUAAAGUUCUGAUUGCAGGAGGAGUCGGUGUGGUUGCGUUCUUCUUCUUCACCAGGAGGAUUCCUGUUUUUCAGGAGCGAGUCCCCGAUCUGAACUACUACUGGGUCCCCCUGCUGACGGUGGUGAUUGGCUCGUACCUGAUUGCUCACGGUUUCUUCAGUGUGUACGCCAUGUGUGUGGACACACUCUUCCUCUGCUUCUGUGAUGACUUGGAGAGGAACGAUGGGAGUUCAAACAAACCUUUCCUCAUGUCUCCAGAGCUGCACAGAAUUCUGGGUAAAUCCACUCAGAAUCGGUGAUGUUUUUCCUUCGUCCAAUCAGCUCUCAGUCUCCCCACAGAUCACUUUACCAGGUCCUGGUGAGGUCAGGCUCCCAGCACUGAUGAAACAUGAGCCUACUGUUCAAGAGUCUGAUGGAUGUUUAAAGUUUCUGUAAAUCUCACUGACUGUCCUGUUAAACAUGUUUCAACUCAUAGAAGGAUAAUACUAUCAACACACACACACACACACACACACACACACACACACACACACACACACACACACAAACACAGGGGAAUCUUUACAUUCACUCUGAAGUCAAAGGACCCAGUCACAGUGUCAGAGACGUUUGGAGCGACAGGAAGACUUUUUAAAACUUCAAGAAAAAAAGGAACACUGGAUCAUCUAUUUUGUCCCCUGCAGCCCCCGUAGUUUCACCCCACUGCUUUGAUACAGGAACUCUCUGGAACGAUGGACAACACUUUUCUUUUUUUUUGUGCGAUUCUGUGCCAUUGUUGGUCUUUACGAGUGCUGGGACUUAUUUAUGUUCAGAUACUGUGUGAUUGGUUAAUUCAACCUUUUUUAUGCUCUGUGUGUUUUAAAUAUAUGAACAGGUGAACAUCAGUUUAAACAUGCCUGAUAUUUAUAGGUUGAUGUUGGAACAACCUUCAGUCUUAGAAACAGUCAGAGAAAAUGUGCAGCUACAUUGACUUCACUGAGACUCACAACACACAAUGGAUUAAAAUAUAUUAACAUCCUUAUCUAGAAUAUUAUGAAGUUACAUUUAAUCUCAGCUGGAAUAUAAUAUAAAUUAAAUCUUACAAAAAUGUUUCUUUCUUUUUCUAUUUAAAGCCAAAGUUUUGAACACUAUUUUUUUCUAUUUAUUCUUUAAACUGUUUUAUAAGGAGUUUUGUAAUUGUAA